UAGGAUUUCUUGGAAUGCGCUUUUUUGCUGGUCCUCGUUGUGUCCACUUUGAUUUGCCUUAUAAAUAUCCCUUCUCCACUGUGCAGCCCAUUAUCUUUCUUUGUGUCUAAGCAAAAGCACCAACAGAAACUCUCUCUACAGUUAGAUCCAACCCAAAUUCUUCAUUAAUUCAACAAUGAGUUACUACAAUCAACAACAACCCCCUGUUGGUGUGCCACCACCACAAGGAUAUCCGCCAGAAGGUUACCCAAAAGAUGCAUACCCACCACCAGGGUACCCACAGCAGGGUUACCCUCAACAAGGUUACCCACCUCAAGGGUACCCUCCACAGUAUGCACCUCAGUAUGGUGCUCCACCUCCUCAUCAACAACAACAGCAAUCUGGUACUGGUUUCAUGGAAGGAUGUUUGGCUGCUCUGUGCUGUUGCUGUCUCUUGGAUGCAUGCUUUUGAUGCUGUAAAUGAUCUGUGCCAUGUGUUGGUGGCAAAAGUUUAUUAAACCAAUUCUAUCAUAGUCUAGACUUUCUCUUUUUGUGUUUGUCUUUGGUGUCCUGUACUGUCCUUGAUAAAUAAUUUGAUAUUAAAUAUGACGAUGCACCUUGUUAUGGUGGGAGAAUUCAAGUGUCUAUUUGCCAAUUUAUACAUUAUUGUGCAAUGCAAGAGAUUCUAUUUUUUUAAAA